CAUAACCUAGCUUGUGCGUAUUGAUUACCAUGGUUUUGAUCCUAUUAUGUGACAAGGGAGCUAAAUGUCAAAUGAGUACAACAGGCCCUAUUCUCCUGAAUGAGGGAAGUUGGAAAAUUCGAACUAGGCACCCACCUGCGAGAGCAGGGUCAGAAACCUGGAGUCAUACGGCGAGUUGGGGAAGGG
rnacentral:other from 1 species